rnacentral:rRNA from 1 species
GACGAACGCUGGCGGCGUGCCUAACACAUGCAAGUCGAGCGCUAAAGGCCGGUACUUGUGCCAACCGGAUGAGCAGCGCACGUGUGAGUAACGCGUGUGAACUCUGCCUUUGAGUGGGGGACCACAUUGGGAAACGAAUGCUAAUACCGCAUAAAAACUUUAAACAUAGGUUGUAAGGUUGAAAUAUGCCAUUGCAGCACUCAAAGGUGAUCCCGCGUUGUAUUAGGUAGUUGGUGAGUUAACAGCUCAUCAAGGCGAUGAUACGUAGCGGAGCUGAGAGGGUGGUCAGCCAGACUGGGAGUGAGACACGGCCCAAAGGCCCACGGGAGGGGGCAGUAGGGAAUCUGCGGGAAGGGGCGAGAGACUGAGCGAGAAGCGCGGCGUGAGUAAGGAGGGUUGUCGGGUCGUGAAAGUCGGUUGGUAGGGAAGAAAGUUGGUGAGAGUGGAAAGAUGAGCAAGUGACGGUAACUGGUAAGAAAGGGACGGCUAACUACGUG